rnacentral:rRNA from 1 species
GACGAACGCUGGCGGCGUGCCUAACACAUGCAAGUUGAGCGGAAUUAUUAGGAGCUUGCUUUUAAUAAUUUAGCGGCGAACGGGUGAGUAACACGUAGAUAAUCUGUCCUAUACUGGGGGAUAGCCCGACGAAAGUUGGAUUAAUACCGCAUACAGCUAGUUUAUCGCAUGGUAGAUUAGUGAAAGAUUUAUUGGUGUAGGAGGAGUCUGCGGCACAUUAGCUAGUAGGUGAGGUAAAGGCUUACCUAGGCGACGAUGUGUAGCCGGUCUGAGAGGAUGAACGGCCACAAUGGAACUGAGACACGGUCCAUACUCCUACGGGAGGCAG